rnacentral:rRNA from 1 species
UUUACCCGGCUUUGGAACUUAAGCAUAUCAAUAAGCGGAGGAAAAGAAACCAACAGGGAUUGCCUUAGUAACUGCGAGUGAAGCGGCAGAAGCUCAAAUUUGAAAUCUGUGUCCUUCCGGGCACCGAGUUGUAAUUUUGAGAUACGUUUUCGACCGACAGGCCUGCCUUAAGUUCCUUGGAACAGGACGUCACAGAGGGUGAGAAUCCCGUGAACGGUAGGCCUCGAGGCGCAUGAUACGUAUUCGACGAGUCGAGUUGUUUGGGAAUGCAGCUCAAAAUGGGUGGUAAAUUUCAUCUAAAGCUAAAUAUUGGGGAGAGACCGAUAGCGCACAAGUAGAGUGAUCGAAAGAUGAAAAGCACUUUGAAAAGAGAGUUAAAAAGUACGUGAAAUUGUUGAAAGGGAAGCGCUUGAGACCAGACUCAAUCUCCGUUGAUCAACUUCAGUUCUCUGUUGUGCACUCGGCGGCUUUUGGGACAGCAUCGGUUCCCGCGGAGGGACAAAGCCUCAGGAAAUGUGGCACCCUUCGGGGUGUGUUAUAGUCCUCCGGGCAAUGCCUCCAGCGGGGACCGAGGACCGCGCUCCGGCUAGGAUGCUGUCAUAAUGGUCUCCAGCGACCCGUCUUGAAACACGGACCAAGGAGUCUAACAUCUAUGCGAGUGUUCGGGUGGAAAACCCUUGCGCGUAAUGAAAGGAACGAGGAAAAA